UGGGGAAUCUUGGACAAUGGGGCGAACCUGAUCCAGCCAUGCCGCGUGAGUGAUGAAGGCCUUAGGGUCGUAAAGCUCUUUCGCCUGUGAAGAUAAUGACGGUAGCAGGUAAAGAAACCCGCUACUCCGUGCCAGCAGCCGCGGUAAUACGGAGGGGUUAGCGUUGUUCGGAAUUACUGGGCGUAAAGCGCGCGUAGGCGGACUGAUCAGUCAGGGGUGAAAUCCCGGGGCUCAACCCGCAGACUGCCUUUGAUACUGUCAGUCUUGAGUCCGGAAGAGGCGAGUGGAAUACCGAGUGUAGAGGUGAAAUUCGUAGAUAUUUGGAGGAACACCAGUGGCGAAGGCGGCUCACUGGCUCGAUACUGACGCUGAGGUGCGAAAAGUGUGGGGAG
rnacentral:rRNA from 1 species